UUUCUUGAACAUCAACUUUUCACAACAGGUUUACUUCUGCUGCAUUUUUAGGGUUGAAAAGCCACAGGUUGUGAACAAUUGUGUACAUGUAUUAUAUUACUUAGUUCCUUCCUCACCUGAAUAAUUUGACAGUGUGUGAUGAUGAAUAUGCAUUAUCGUGCAUAUCACAAUGUGUGGACCUGGAGCUCCUGCAGUUUAGACUCAAAAGCACUUAAAAAAUCUUAUCAGAUGAGGAUCAGUACCAUAUAUUAUUGGAUCGUUGUACAAUACCUGUGAAAAACGCUACACAGUGUUAGGCCAUGCUCAGGAGGGAGUGACUGAGUUAUUGGGUGCAGAAGAAGCACAAGCCAUCUUGACAUGAUGAGUCAUCCCCAACAGCGCUUGACGAUGGUUUCCUGCUGGAUGAGGAUGAACCAUAACUGAGCACUGAGGAUGAUACUUCUCUCAACACUGCAUUGUAUGACGACAAAGCAAUUCAGUGUGGUUUGUCAUCGUCAACAAAAGAACCAGACUCAGCUGACGUUGGAGACUGUCAAGUUGAGAUCACUGUGCCUAUCAGGGUUGAGUGUUACAUACUGAACGAAGUGAU